CACAGAUCCACAGAUACGCGCUGCCGCGACUAACGCGAAAUUGAUGAAUAAUGAUUUGCUAAAUUGAAGUCAGAAACACGAAAUAGGGAUAAUGUUAACUUCUGUAAGGAAAAAAAAGAUACACGCGAUAAUGAUGUGGUAGUAGCAGUUAUAUGUGGUGUACCAGUACACAUUUUAAUUGACAGCGGUUCUACUAUUUCUUUAAUUUCCUUGUCUUUACUGAAAUAUUUUGAUUGUGUUCGGAAACCAUGUUUUCUUGUUUUAAGAGGUAUAGGAGGACAAGAAAUAGAAACCACUCAAUAUGUCACUUUACCGAUUGAGUUAGAUGAAAUUAUUUUAGAGGUAGAAUUAUUCGUGGUUUCAUCAGAACUUAUGAACAGCCCUGUAGUUAUAGGCACUGAUGUACUUAACCGUGAAGGAGUUACCUACGUUUGUACGUGUGAUCGUCAAUAUUUAAAACAUGUUUCCAAUGAGGUGACUGAUGUGUUUACGAUUGAGUCUCAUAGACAUAUACCCUUAAAAACCAAAGUUAUUGAUGAGAAUUUACAACAUUUACACGAAGUUAUUCGUAAGUUUUCAGGAUAUUUUAUAACGUGAACUGCAAC